UAUGGACAAAGACACACAAAGAUUUCAGUGAACGCAAAGUUCUCUACUAGGCACUGAACAUAUUACUACUAUGGUGCCAGAUCAAUGGAAACAAGUUGGAAUGGGUUUAUGAAUGUAUACAUUUGAAACUGACUUGAAGUGGAAAUAGAUGAAUCAGCUGA